rnacentral:rRNA from 1 species
UACGUAGGGUGCAAGCGUUAAUCGGAAUUACUGGGCGUAAAGCGUGCGCAGGCGGUAAUGUAAGACAGAUGUGAAAUCCCCGGGCUCACCUGGGAACUGCAUUUGUGACUGCAUUGCUGGAGUGCGGCAGAGGGGGAUGGAAUUCCGCGUGUAGCAGUGAAAUGCGUAGAUAUGCGGAGGAACACCGAUGGCGAAGGCAGCCUUCUGGGCCAACACUGACGCUCAUGCACGAAA